CCAUGAGGUUGCUUCUGGAAGGCUGAAAUUGCGCCAAAAAAAUUGUGAGAUGUUGUUUGUGCUGUUUAGCAGGAGCAGCUGGCUUAUUUGGAAUAUCUGUCCAGCUAAAAAAUGGCUCCAGCGGUUAGAAACAGGUGAUGGCAUGGCAGAAUGGCUUUAUGGAAACUUCAAGCAUAUGACAGCUUAAUUUUCUUCCACAAGGCUGUGAGACCAGUUUGCAGGUGAUGCUAAAGUUAUCAGAUCUACAGCACGAGGUGACAUACAGCCAACACUUAGUGUCUAGCUUAUUGUCAAAAGAAAUGUCUGUGCCUCCUUUGUUAAAACAGAUCCAGCAAUGGGAAGCGAGGGGCCAUAAUGUGUAAAGAGAGGUCUUAACCUCAACUGCGUCUGCUGAAGAAAUGCUUCUGCCCAAUUACUAGACUACUGGCAAAUGAGAUGAGGUGUAGAAUGUUGACAAAAACCUCACAUCCAGGCUGCAAGUUGAUUUUGUUUUAUAUACAGAUCUUCAAGCACUGGACAAAAUGUCUACAUGAAACAUUUCUCCGUUACAUCAGCCCAGGUGUUUUUAACAGCUGGAGUACGUGUGUGUUUUGUGCAACUCUGCUGCUCUCACAACUCGUGUACCCAUGGAAAGGGAUUGUCCUUGGCCUUCCUGUUUGAACUAUAAACCUGGCUAUUUAAUAAAAUGCUAAUAAAGUGUUUCUGAUGAUAUCUGUUCUAUUAAUAAAGCUGUGACUUAUCUUA